ACAAUAACUAUUAUGUACUUGUAACUGGCAUACCUAAGUAAAAGCGUUGAGCAGGACGUUUUUUACCGCUCCGCGUUAAAGCCGACGCGACAUCCCUAAAUAAAGCGUCAACGUUACGUCAAAUUCUCACUUGAAUUCGAAAAAUAUUACAUAUUAAAUGAAGUUCAAAACGAAUUAAAUUAUUAAUAAUACUUACUUCUAUUUGUACAAGCAUUAUUAAUCGCGCAUUAAGACAUUUUUCAGAAAAAUUACAAUUUCUUUGUUUUUUGCAGCCAACUUUAGUUCUUAACGCGCUGUCAAAAUCGAAAUUUUUAAAAACUCGGCAUUGCUGCAGCGUUAUUUAGGUAUGCGCGAAACGUUCUUCGUGAAAUUACUGAAUUAUCGUGCGUUUAAUUUUUCAGUUUUUCAAGUUUAUUUAUAUUGAGAGUUUUAAAGAGUAUGAAAAAUACUUUACUAUCAAUUAAUAAAAAUGCUGCGUUGGGCACAAUUAUUACAAUUAUAGUUGGAUGGUGUAUGGCAACAAAGCUCCAUCAAAGACCAGUGUGUAUCGAUGGUAUGGUGAAUUCAAUCGAGGUCGUAGAUUACUCCAAGACGAGUUUCGUGAAGGUCGUUCAAAAUCCGUUGUUGGUCGGAAACUAUUAAUGAUGUGCGCAAACUGAUAUUGCAAGAUCGUCAUGUGACCUAUUGUGAGUUUUAGACAACUAUAGUCAUUAGUGGGACUAGCACACAUUCAAUAUUGUUUGAACAUUUGAUGGUUCGUGUCGGUUGUUCGAGAGUAAUGUUAAAACAAUACGAUAGCGGUGCUCAUAAACACGUCUAUGGCAUCGUGAUAGGUGAUAAACCGUGAAUUUAUGCGAAACGUGGAUUCACGCACGACGCACUCCCCAGCAAAUGGUUCUGGAAAAGCUUGACAUGUUGCAACCAUACCACUAAAACAACGCAGAACAGUAAUUCUGAGUGGUACACAACAAUUUGUUUCCCGGUUGUCUUUCAAGAAAUCAGGAAAAUCAACCGCCGAAGACGCAUCACUCUUUACCACGACAAUGCGAGCUAUCAUACGUCGUCUAAACUGCAACAACAGCAUUUUGAGCACUCAAAACUUCGAUUUGGUAAGUCAUCCGCCGUAUAGACCUGACACCGAACGGUCAACGUUUUUCUACACCUAAAGAGGUAAAAGUGCUUCGACAAUUGGUUCAAACCCAUUCAAAAGCGUAUAAAUCUUAAUGAAGAAUAUUUUUAAAAAUAGAAUAAUAAAAGCGAUUUUCGGUGAUUUAAAUUUGUUGUUGUUCUGUAAUGCGGAAAUAUAAAAGACAACUCUCGGAUAUACGGGGAUUCUCUUGCUCUUGCAAAUCCAUUGCAUGAUGCAGGGAUUGGAAAGUUUCACAUUCAGAACAAAACAUACAAAAAAAAAAAUGCAUUAGCUGCAAAAUAUGCUACACUAAGACCCAUGUUAAUUUUGUGAACAAUGAGGUUUAGCAAAAUAAUUGCAGCCCCGUGUCAGCUGUCACAUUACAUAUAUACACAUACAUUUAGCUGAUAUUUCUGUUUCUGAAAUUAGGUGUUCUCGUCUUCUUGCAUAAUUAGAGUGCAUUUCUUUUUUAUUUUUCUAAUUAUUUGUCCAUAUUUCUAUUUACAAAGAUACAUUUAUAUACCUGUAAUUACCUGCUGCUAAGAUGGCUCUUUUGUCAUUUUUUAUAGGCAAAUUCUCUUUUGGUGUCGCUCAGUGCGUUCACAUGAGUGAACCGAGACCGGCAACUUGAGUUGGACAAUUUUCUGCAUUUUCGUUCAUAUAACAUUCUCAAAUUCAUUAAUGUACGCGGUGUAAAAAUGUUUUUUAUUACCUAAAUAUUAUUAAUUUUUACACUUUUCUAAAAUAUUUUUAUUAUA